rnacentral:rRNA from 1 species
GAUGAACGCUGGCGGCGUGCCUAAUACAUGCAAGUCGAGCGAACAGACGAGGAGCUUGCUCCUCUGACGUUAGCGGCGGACGGGUGAGUAACACGUGGAUAACCUCCCUAUAAGACUGGGAUAACUUCGGGAAACCGGAGCUAAUACCGGAUAAUAUAUUGAACCGCAUGGUUCAAUAGUGAAAGACGGUUUUGCUGUCACUUCUAGAUGGAUCCGCGCCGCAUUGGCUAGUUGGUAAGGUCACGGGUUAUCAAGGCGACGAGGCGUAGCCGACCUGAGAGGGUGGUCGGCCACACUGGAACGUGACCACGGUCCAGACUCCUGCGGGAGGCAGCAGUAGGGAAUCUGCCGCAGUGGGCGAAAGCCUGACGGAGCAACGCGGCGUGAGUUAUGAAGGUCUUCGGAUCGUAAAACUCUGUUAUGAGGGAAGAACAAAUGUGUAAGUAACUAUGCACGUCUUGACGGUACCUAGUCAGAAAGCCACGGCUAACUACGUG